GGGAGCUCAGCCAGGGGCACCUGAGAGCUGAGAGCCUGCCAGGGACUGCCUUCAAUUUUCCAUGUUGUUCCAGCCCAUUCGAGGGGAGGGGAAAUGGGCUGGGCCACCCACAAGAAACCUAGCGCACAGCCCCAGAGGCCUACAGGCAGACACCACACCAGUGGGACAGGUAACCCUUGUAAGACAGGUUGCAGUGGACAGAGCUCGAGCCCUGUGAUUGGAUCCCAUCCAAAUCUCGACAAACAGGUUCUUAGCACCACCCAAGGCUCCGAGCAGCUAGGCCAGAAGUACCUCUCCUCCGGCAGCAGGCAGCUCCAGGCUAGGAUGGGCAGCCCAGUGCACCGAGUGUCCCUGGGGGAUACCUGGAGCAGGCAAGUGCACCCCAACAUAGAGAGUGAGAGGUACAUACAGUCCUUCAAUGUGGAAAGGCUCAUCAACAUCCUGGAUGGAGGUGCCCAGAACACUGCACUCCGGAGGAAAGUUGAGAGCAUCAUCCACAGUGACCCGGAGUUUAGCCUCAAGGAUAAUUAUUUCAUGACCCAGAAUGAACGUUAUGUGGCCGCCGUUCGGAAGAAAUUUCACCUCCAGAUAACAGCAAAGCGCCUGGGCUGGUCGGAAAACAGUCCUGAAUUCUAUUACGUUUACAGAGCCCUUUCUGGAGAACUGGCCUUAAAUCUACACCACGUGUUCCUGAAAUCCCUCAGGAGCCUGGGCUCAGAGGAGCAGAUUGCCAAAUGGACCCCACUCUGCAAUGAAUUCCAGAUCAUUGCAUCAUAUGCCCAGACAGAAUUGGGACACGGGACGAAUCUUCGGGGCCUGGAGACUGAAGCCACCUAUGAUGCAGCCACCCAAGAGUUUGUGGUGCAUAGCCCCACGUUGACGGCCACCAAAUGGUGGCCUGGGGACCUGGGACGGUCAGCCACCCACACCUUGGUCCAGGCCCAGCUGAUCUGCUCAGGAGCCCGACAGGGCAUGCACGCCUUCAUUGUGCCCAUCCGGAGCCUCCAGGACCACACCCCACUGCCAGGAGUCACCGUUGGAGACAUUGGGCCCAAGAUGGGCUUUGACCACAUAGACCACGGCUUCCUGCGACUGGACCACGUGCGGGUCCCUAGGGAGAACAUGCUGAGUCGCUUUGCACAGGUCUUGCCAGACGGCACCUACGUCAAGCUCGGAACGUUGCAGACCAACUACUUUUCCAUGGUGGUGCUGCGGGUGGAUCUGCUCCUGGGCGAGAUCAUCCCCCUGCUGCAGAAGGCCUGUGUCAUCGCCAUCCGCUACUCAGUCAUCCGCCGCCAAUCCAGCAUCCGGCCCAGUGACCCAGAGGCAAAAAUCCUGGACUACCAGACGCAGCAGCAGAAACUCUUCCCUCAGCUGGCCACAGCCUAUGCAUUCCAUUUCCUGGCGAGCGGCCUCCUAGAGUUCUUACGUAGCUCCUACGAUGCCAUUCUCAACAAAGACUUCAGCCACCUGCCGGAGCUUCACGCACUGAGUGCAGGAAUCAAGGCCAUGACGUCAGACUUGUGCCUCCAGGGGACUGAGCUGUGCCGCCAAGCCUGUGGUGGCCACGGCUACUCGAAGCUGAGCGGCCUGCCCUCACUGGUCAGCAGAGUGACAGCCUCCUGCACCUAUGAGGGUGACAACACCGUGCUCUACCUUCAGACAGCCAGGUUUCUGGUGAAAAACUACCUGCAAGCUCAAGCUCAGGCAACCCCAGGUUCCACACUGCAGAAGUCUCUCCCUCAGUCUAUUGCAUACCUGACCACAACUGACUUGGCCAGAUGCCCAGCCCAGAAAGCAGCCGACUUCCUCCACCCAAAACUCUACACCACGGCCUGGGCACACGUAGCAACCAGGCUCAUAAAGGACUCAGUGCAUCACUUAGAGACUGUGAUGCAAUCCGGGGCUGACUGGGAUGAGGCAUGGAACCAGACCACUGUCAUACACCUCCAGGCUGCUAAGUCAGCAAAUAUUUGAGCACCCGCUCGACACCAGGCAUCGGGCUAGGGACUGGGGGCUCCAUGGUGCCCGUACCCGUUGCAGUCAAGGCAGCACAGUGACGGAGACACAGGCUGCCCGGGAUCCCAGAGAAGUGCAGCUCUACCCGGCAUGAGGACCAGAAAGGCUUCCCAGAAAGGGCACAGAGGCCAAGACUUCAAGGAUGAGCUGAAAUUAGCCAGACUUUGUACCACGGGAGUGAGGUGAUCAGAGUUUCAUUGUCGAAGAAUCAUACAGGCUGCCUGGGGAGCAAUGGACUGGAGGCUGGAGGCCAGUUAGGAGCAGGCAGCAGCAGUCUGGGCAAGGGCUGAGGAUGGUCCUGACCAUGAACUUGGCAGAGGGCAUAGAGACAAGUGGGAGGAUGCAGACAUAUUAAGGGCAUAGAAGAUAGCAAGAGCCUUCAGAGAGUAAUGGGGUGGGGAAGAGGUUGACUCCUGAGCUCCAGCUUAGGCACCUGGGACUCUGGUCCUACCUACAGCUGCAAAACCAAGGUGAACACUUCGAUCCUCAGGCAUCAGGCCCAGGAAUUGGCAGGAAAGCCUGAGGAGUGUUUUCUAGCAGCCCUCACGGGGCAGGCUGGGCGUGAGCGCCACCUGGUGACCCGCCCCCUCUACCACAUCAGCUGGUGCUGGUCUUAACGCAGCCACCAUCCACGGGGCUAUCUACCACAGGAGCACGCCCUGCUGUGCUAAAUGUCCUAUCAACACAGAGGGGGGUAAGCCAAGGCUGUGUUCUCACCAGACUACCACAAAAGGAAUCACAGCUGCCCAUUAUGCAUCCAUUUUCCAACCCUAUGCUCUGCCUUCCAGUGGACCAGACACUGCAUGCCAGGUUACCUCAUUUAAUACAUACCACCCUGGGGGUGAGAGUAGCAUAAUCUCCAUUUUAAGGAUGAGGACAUAGAACUCAAAGGAAUUAAGUCCCAGAGGUAGAAAAUAGUUAAGAUGCUUUGCUUUCCUUUCCCCCACAGAUGCAAGCUGUGUCCUCAGAGAGCCACUGUGUGUGAGGGAGGGAGGUGUUCCCCAAGUUCUCCGGGCACCAAGGGUGGGAAGCUCUGCCAGCCUAGAGGAGAAAAGCAAGUCCCUUCUCCUCUGGCCAUUGUAAGCUGAAGAAGAGUGGCUUCCUGGGGAGAUGGUGCCCUAGCUGACUCACCAAAGUCAUAAGGGGCAGGGAGAGCUGCAAUUUCUGAGCUUCAUGCUUUGGAAAAACCAUCUACUCUACAGAAACCUUAAGCACCCACCAAGUCCCAUCUAGAAACCAUAAAUAUGCAGGUAAAGAGUGACAGCAACACAGGGGAGUGGGGAACAGUGGCCUAAGUUCUGUUUCCAGCUCUGUGCAUGACCUGCCUCUCUGAGUGACCUCAGGUGUCCUUCCUUCUCUGGGCUGUAACUUCCCGGUCUGUAAAAUAAAGGGGCAUGGAAAAGACCUUAAGGCUCUGAUGGGCUCUGGUCCUAUAAUCUGAGACCCUGCUCAGGAGAGAGGUCCGUCCCCUAGGAACACGGGAGCAAAUGCUGGUACCCAUUCUAAUACAGCCUCAGUCCAGGUCUGUCAACACCUCAUUAUGCCUCACGGGGGCAGCCUCAGCAGGCUGGUGCAGCUCCUGCAAGUACAGCUCUGUGCACAUGCAAUAACCCCUCCUUGCCCCCCUGAGGAAACUUCUUUGAACCCUCAAAACAGUCUAAGCCUUGCUACUUCAGGCAUUACUAGGAAAUCUGCAUUUUCACAAGAUGCCCAGCUGAUCUGUAUGCAUGUAAACAUUUGAGAAGAGUUUUAUUUGCUGUCCUUCCCUCCCCCCCCCCCAUGGAAUUCAUAUACCUAACCUGAUAACAAUAAAACAAUAAUGCGCAUUUAUCUUGGGGAGAAGGGGAAUAUUCAGAAUACUCAACAACCAGUAGGGCAGAGGCACAGGCCAAUCAGAAAGGACUUCAGGCCUAACGGAAGCAGGAGCCUGAAAGCCUCCUGCUGGGUCAGGCAUUCGUCCUUUAUUUGCCGAGCUGUGGGGAGGAGGGGUUCCCAGGGAAGGAUCCUGGCUGACAGAGAUGGGGGUCUCACUCAGUUGAGGGCAGUGGUCACUUACCAAAUGGUACCAAAAGUUUUAUAAUUUUUUUUAAAGUAAGCUCUACUCCCAACAUGGGCCUUGAACUCAUGACCUUGAGAUCAAGAGUCAUAUGCUCCACUGAGCUGACCAGGUGCCCAAAAGUUUUAUUUUAACUAGUGACAAAGCCAGACUGUUGGAUAUGGCUAAAUAACAGCCCUGCUUACCUUGCAGAGUUUACUCUCUAGCUGGGAUAAACUUUAUGUCCAUCGUGUACCUCUACUUUCUCACCCCAAGACACACACAAGCACACACACACACACCACUGCCUUAAAACAUGGCAAACAAUAAACAGCUGUUUUCUUAAGAAAAGUGGUGCAGUCCUCCACUGUCUCCAGGCCAGGCUCCAAUACCCCUGUAUUCUUUCUACUUACAAACCUCCUUGAAAUUUCCCCCAAACAAAAUGAGUAAGCCAAGGGCCAAGUCCCAGAGCCCACAAGCCCCCAGCAGGGGCACACAUGCACGCACACACAAGCAUCGAGACCCGCGGUGAGCUCGGAGCACAGGCAGCUGCUCGUCGGCCCACAGGGAAACACUUGGCCACAGCGAGCUUACUCCAGCAGUCUUGCCCAGCCUCCAGGAUAACUUCUGAAGUCAGAAACCAGAAGCUGAUGGAUCUUCGU